UCAUUUGAAACAUUUUAAAGGUCCCAUAUUAUGCAUUUUUCACUUUGUGAAGAGUUUCUUACAGUAGUAUGUGCUUCAGUAGCCUCAUUAUGAGAUUCAAAUUUGAAAACUGUCUGUUUGCUCCCUGUCUUGCCACACCUCAUUUUG